GCCCUCAUAGUUCAAUGGAUAGAACGGAGGCGUCCUAAGCUUUUGAUGUAGGUUCGAUUCCUACUGAGGGCA
rnacentral:tRNA from 2 species